rnacentral:lncRNA from 1 species
CUUUCCGAGUGAGCUGUUGGUUUUUGGGCUGCAGGGGGUGCAAGAGCUCCAUUGAAGCCUGCGGGGCUUAGUGUCUCCGCAGGUCAGACCCCACAUUGAAAUAGGCCUUUACCACCGCAACAGAGGCCAGCUUCGUCCUGAAUCCAGUCCUGUAAGAGGGGAUCAAAUCAGCAUGCAUUUUGACAGUGUGCGAUACUACUCUAUGAUCAAUUUUACAGAUGUGAUGAAGUACCGAGGAUCAAGGAGGCAAUUGCAAAUUGCACAGAAGCCUAAACUAUGGUUUGGAGGAAUUCUUGGAGGGUGA